AGAAAUGAAAGGAUCAAAACUGAAAUUAAACAAAUUUGAGUGUAGUAUAGAGAUUGAAAUAGAAAUUUAACCAUUAUUACAUAAAGUAAGAAAAGUAAAAGGAUCAUAAUUGCAAUUGAACCAUUAUACCAUAAAUCAUAUUAAAAAAAAUCAAGUUGGAUGAUUUUAUGCAUGCUACACCUCACCUGUCUAUAAAAUUAUCACUAUAUUUUUCAAUUUAUUCAUACUUUUUCUUAUAUAUAUAAUUUUGGGCCGAGUUUAACUUUUUAAAAAGAAUAUUAUAUUCUUAUUAUUUUUAAAAAAUGAAGAAAAAUGUGAACGAAACGAUUAAAGGCCCCAAGACCAGAUGAUUAGCCUACCAAUUUUUUCAAGCUAUUUGAGACUCCCAGAUUCAUGAAGAUGCUUAAAGAAAACUUGACAGUCAUGUCAACAAAUCUCUUGGUAAGUACCUGGGAUUUAAUAUGAAGCAUAUUUCUUCUAAAAGCUCAUUUUUUCAAUCUACCAUUAAUACGCUGAAUAUCAAGCUCUAAGGAUGGAAGUCCAAAUUGCUCUCUUCUGGUUGUAGGUUGACUAUGAUUUUCUCUGUAGGUACCUAAAUUUACCCGGGCCCAUAAUUGCUAAUCAGCCCAGACCCAAAAAAGAAAUAUAAACUAAAACCCAAUUACAAGGACAGCCCGAUAGGCCCAAAAUCAAGCCAAUCUUGGCAAACCGAAACCCUAGUCUCCUCCCCUGGCGCUGUACCCUUCCCAUGUGCGCCCUCGGCAUGCACGACGCCCAAGGGCCGACUUUGCCUUCAACCUUACACCAAAAUGGCAUGCUUUCACUGCCGUUGACCCCCCUAGGCCUGCAAAACAGAAGCAAAAGAGAGCAAAGCAGCAGAAGCAAAAGGAAAUAGUAACAAACAGUAGAAAAAUCUUUGUAUUCGGCUAUAAGAAAAGCCUGGAACAAACAAUUUUUUUACACAGACUAUUAAGGAAAAAGAGCAAAAUACAAGCAAAGGUUGAUUCCAAUCUCGUUUUCGACUCGUUCUUCAUAUUUUAUUUAUGCUUUCAUUUUUUUAUUUUUCAUUUUUAUUUUUUAAUCAUAAAUCUAUUUUAAACAAAAUAAAAAGGGAGUAAAAACUCACCGAAACCGCCCCGUGACCGCUUCGUCGGAGGGCUUUUCGUCGUUGUCGCGUUCGAACCCAAAAGGGGGUGCGAACCAUUAUCCUUGCGCUUCCGAGGAUUGAUGGUGUUAUAACCUUCAAACGCGCCUUGAAACGGGGCUUAAUGCCCACCCUUGUGCACUGUCGGCCGCCGGGUACAGUGGUGGCACGAUAGAUGGAGAUUUGGGUGUCCCCUUUGGCCGGCUACAAGGAGAGAAGGGAGAGAGUUAGGGGAAUCUCAGAUUUUUUUUAGAGAGGAGGUUGCAAAUGAAAAUUUCUGAAAAAAAUGGGCUUAAAUGCAACCCUGGAAACGAUGCCGUUUUUGGGUGGUAGUCCAGGUGCCAAAAUGGCACCGUUUUGGCCAACCCGUUUUCGACCCGACCCGCUCCAUGCCAAGACCCGAGCGUUUCCGCUUUAAUGGGUUAUUUAUGGAUCCGAUCCCUUCACUUUUGUGGUCUGUCGCAAUUCAGCCUUAUUUCCUUUUCUUUUCUUUUGAUUUUUACCCUGUAAUUCUUGAAAUGUUCAGAUUCGGUCGCUAUUGAAGUUAU
rnacentral:lncRNA from 1 species